rfam:Myotis brandtii contig255585, whole genome shotgun sequence.
GGUGGUUCUCAGGUGAAGCAACCCAGAAUCAGGUUCCCUCCUCUGUGGUUCUGGGUGUGUCACCCCAGAAAUGCC